rnacentral:rRNA from 1 species
AUGCACAAGGAGGGCAAGCUCGACAUGGACGCCGUCAAAUACGUCAUCUUCGACCUAUUCAGUGCCGGCAGCGAGACAACUACGCUAGAGUGGGCAUUCGCAGAGCUGAUGAGGAAUCCAAAGGCGAUGCACAGGGCAACCGCCGAGGUUCGGCGAGCAUUCAGGGCCCACGGCUCUGUAGCGGAGCACCGCCUCGGCGAGCUCCCGUACAUGCACCUAGUCAUUCGGGAGGCUCUGCGGCUGCACAUGCCCACGCCGUUGCUCCUCCCCCGGGAGUGCCGGGAGCCAUGUCAGGUGCUCGGGUAUGACGUGCCGCAGGGCACACAGGUGCUAGUCAACGUCUGGGCACUGGGCCGUGACAGACGGUACUGGCCUGACGGGCCGGAGGAGUUUCGGCCGGAGCGGUUCGAGGAUGAGGAUGCUGUGGACUUUAAGGGUAACGACUUCUCUUUUCUGCCAUUCGGCGCAGGCCGGAGGAUGUGCCCCGGGAUGGCAUUCGGCCUCGCCAAUAUCGAGCUCGCACUCGCGAGCUUGCUGUUCCACUUCGACUGGGAGGGUCCAAGUCCAGACGAAUUGGACAUGGCCGAGGCGUUUGGCGUUACGGCGCGGCGGAAGGCCGGCCUCCUCCUGCACCCUGUUCUCUGUGUGCCCGUUCCCUUCCCGGAGUCUACUCCACCGGCAGGCAACGGAGAUCGUUUUUUUUUCGGGGGACAACGGAGAUCGUUAGGGUCCUAG